AGUGAACGCUGGCGGUAGGCCUAACACAUGCAAGUCGAACGGCAGCACAGUAAGAGCUUGCUCUUACGGGUGGCGAGUGGCGGGCGGGUGAGGAAUACAUCGGAAUCUACUUUUUCGUGGGGGAUAACGUAAGGAAACUUACGCUCAUACCGCAUACGACCUACGGGUGAAAGCAGGGGAUCUUCUGACCUUGCGCGAUUGAAUGAGCCGAUGUCGGAUUAGCUGGUUGGCGGGGUAAUGGCCCACCAAGGCGACGAUCCGUAGCUGGUCUGGGAGGAUGAUCAGCCACACUGGAACUGAGACACGGACCAGACGCCUACGGGAGGCAGCAGUGGGGAAUAUUGGACAAUGGGCGCAAGCCUGAUCCAGCCAUACCGCGUGGGUGAAGAAGGCCUCCGGGUUGUAAAGCCCUUUUGUUGGGAAAGAAAAGCAGCAGGUUAAGACCCCGCUGUUCUGACGGUACCCAAAGAAUAAGCACCGGCUAACUUCGUG
rnacentral:rRNA from 1 species